GAAUUGCAGAAUUCCGCGAAUCAUCGAGUUUUUGAACGCAAGUUGCGCCCGAGGCUCGUCCCGAGGGCAUGCCCGCCUGAGCGUCCG
rnacentral:rRNA from 5 species